rnacentral:misc_RNA from 1 species
ACCAUUUGUAAAUUGUAGCAGGCUCGAACAAUGGGGGAUCAAUGGUGCUAUCUUUUUUAUCCAAUCUCCUCCUUCCCAUAUGUAGAAGGCAAAAACUGGAUUAGCUAUCGUCUAUCAUUGGCGACGAGGACAAAGCAGCACAUAAUGGAACUUUAGCAUCCCAUAAUGGGAUACACCACCAUGAUUCUGCAAUCGGAUCGUAUAGUUCGUAAGCUGAAGAAUCUCCUUUUGCCACUGGCAGACCAUGGAAGCAUCCAAGAAAAUGACAAGCUGGAAGUGCAGGUCUUUCUCUUCUCCAAUAUCAGGAGAAACCCCCUUCUAAGUUCUAAAUGGAAAGUGUGAGGUUCUUUGUGGUUAUGGUGACUUCCAUAA